rnacentral:rRNA from 1 species
AAUAAAUAGGUAACAUACCCAUUCCCAACAGGUCGGUUAAGCUUUACAGUGCUGAUGGUACUGCACGGGAGACUGUGUGGAAGAGUAAGUCGUCGACAGGU